GCUGGUUUCAUAUGGUGGUUUAGAUUUAACUACUCCGUGUCUAGCACCAUUUGAAAUCAGUGUU
rnacentral:pre_miRNA from 1 species